rnacentral:snRNA from 1 species
CUACUCUGGUCUCUCUUCAAAACGCUUAAAUCUUUCGCCUUUUACUAAAGAUUUCCGUGGAGAGGGACUACUUGAUGAGUCUAUAACUAAUUUUUUGCCAUGGCUUCGUCGUAAGAUGAAG